UACGAAGGCCCCGAGCGUUAUCCGGAUUUAUUGGGCGUAAAGCGUUAAAAGGCGGUUCUGUAAGUAUUCGGUCAAAUCUCAUGGCUUAACCAUGAGGCUGCCGGGUAAACUGCAGGACUUGAGGUCGGAAGAGGCAAGCGGAACUACCGGUGUAGUGGUAAAAUGCGUUCAUAUCGGUAGGAACACCAAAGGCGAAGGCAGCUUGCUGGUACGAACCUGACGCUAAAUAACGAAAGCGUGGGGAGCGAAUGGG
rnacentral:rRNA from 1 species